rnacentral:lncRNA from 1 species
UUAAUGUCUUAAAAUUGUAAACAAAUUAAUAAUAUAUAUUUUUACAACAUAUACUAUCAAACCAUAAAUACAGGUAAACAAUGGAAGUUUCACCUAACAAGAUAUUGGCCAUUUAACAAAGAACUUGAAGAAAUGUUAAUCAUACAUAAGCGGUUCGCACAAAAUUAUAUGAAUACAAGGUUGAUAUAUUUUUCACACGGAACGAAACGAAACUAUAAUCAUUUUGGUUAGUCCUAUUUAGAAAUCAUCUACAUUAAUUUUAGGCUUAAUUACACCAAUGCCCCUGAAAUUUGGUUAAAUCUCACUUUGUCCCCCCUCUCAAACUCAAAAUGGCCCACUUUCAUCCCUUGACCGAGGUUUGGUGACUCACUUUGCCCCUACCAUUAACUUCAUCCAAAAGUUUGUUAAUUUUAAUGGCGUGACAAAUAGAGCCCACCUCCACAUAGAUAAAAAUAUAAUUAAAUAUUCUAAUAAUUAAAAAUAAAAAUAAAAAAAAUGAAAAACUACAUUAAAAAAACAAAUUUUUUUAAAAAAUGAUAACACAGUUCACCACACCCCACUCUCCUCUACGAUCACCUCCCCAGCCCAUUCAAUCACCACCCCACCUCAUCCAACCUUUACCUUUAUCACCUCCUCCUCUAAUUCAAUCUCAAUCUCUCUCUAGCUUUAUUCUCACUGUUUGUACCAUAUUUGAAAAAUGGACUAAAUUUGGUUUAUUUUUCAAAUGAAGUUACAUGAGGGCCAGGCCCAGUUUGUUUCUUUCAAAAUUAACAAAAAUAGGGCUUUUCCAUAUUUGAGCUUUAAAUUGGUGAAAUCUCCUUAGAAGCCCAUACCUCAAAAAGCCUCAGCUUUAACCCACAUUAAAGUUAGGAAAGUAAGUAACCGUUACCAGUUGACCCACGUGACUUUCUGAAGACGGGUUUUCGCCAUUAAGAAUGACUUGACUGUCGUCUCUCUCAGCAAGAAAGCAGACUAGCUAAUUGAUGCCAAAAUCGAGAGGAACCGUCUUUCGACUGAUUUUCUAGCUUCGAAAGGACGACAAAUCAAAAGAAAAUCCCUUGAAACCAGUGUUUUCAUAUGAGAUAUCCUUUCUCCUACAUAUGGAUCGACUCACGAGGACAAAUCGGCAGCUGACUUUGGACAACACUCAAGUGUUAUCUUCCAGCCUUCACCGUCAUCGUUAAAGACUUUUUGCCUAUAAAUAUAGAGGCUCAACAUCAGCACUCGAGGAC